AUGCUUUCUGCUUGUCUUUGCCUUCAAACAAAACCAUGUUCAAUGGAGACAGAUAACAGGAUUUCCCCUAGGAAUGCACUGAAAUACUGUUAUGUCUUUGCCUGUUCUUGGCUGAUUGAGAUAUUAAUUAAUUAUAUGAAUAAGCCUAGGAAAAUAAAGAAAAAUCACUGGUAGCUGUGUUGAAGAGAUGCCAAUUUUUAACAAGCAGCGUCUGGUGCUUUCCGGGCCACUCCACGCAUGUGCAUUCUGUAGAGAACAAUGAGCUUGCACUCUGUUUGCUUCUGGGAAUGCAUAUUUAGUAACAUUCCCUCUCUUCCCCCUCUGCCUGAGGUGGGUCACCAGGACAUAAGCUUCAUUCACAAAAAGACAUCCGAGCUUCAUCCAGCUCCUCUCUGGCGAUGACUGCAGCUUUCAUCCACGUGUAGCACGGUGGCUCCUCUCCCGCAAAGCUCACAGACACGGUGGCACACGGGGACAUAACCAUGACAAGCC
rnacentral:lncRNA from 1 species